GACGGGGCCGAGUUGGGGAAUGUUACAAAGGGGCAAGAGGAAACUGUGGGUGAUGGGCACGUGCAAUCACAAAGACCGAGUGCUCUGUUCACGAGUGACGGCACAGGUAAACAAAACCCGUCAACUCAUUACAUGUCAAUUACAUCUCGGCAGUUAUUUUUUUAAAGGAUUUUUUUUUUUAAAAAGUCAUUAGUAAAGCUAUGCCUUCUCUCAGGUUUGACAAUGUUUUCAAAAUCUUCUCCGGCUCUCACCGUUUCUCCUCCCCACCAUCCAAAUGCCUGUAAAGCCUUUUAACCUUUGACUCUGUAAACAGCAACAUCUGGUCAUUUCUAACCCACAAAUCUGUUGAAAGCAAAACAGCAAGUUUGGUUAAGGAAAAAAAACAAGAGGAAAUUUCAUAGGCUCUCAGAGUCAUGGCAAAGGGUGCAGAGUUAAAGGUCUGGGAAAGCCUCAUAGCGAUGGCAUUUGGUUGCCACUGCCACCGAGAGCAGAAUGAGGUCUUCACCAAGUAGCGCUUUGCUGGCUGUCUACUCGGUGACCACACCACCACGUCACCACCCUGCACAGAUGAAGCCGCUACUGUAGCCUUCUCUGCAGCCAAUUCUUUGGUCAAUUUAAUCAAGACUUUAGCACUGUCUACUCGAGUCCAUGGGUCUGCACUAACUUCUCCGCCAUGAUGAACACCGGCCUCUGCACCAGAAUGAACUUCUUGUUUCCCAUCUCAAGCUGCUGCCUCGUGAAAGUGAAAGUCCCAAGUCCUGAAAUCUGAACCCCCUGAGAGAAAAAAAAGAAGACAAAAAGAACACACAUGGCUCCAUUAAUAAUCAUCCAAUUGCCUAAAGGAAACUGACGAUUUAAGCUUAAGCUUAAAGAUUCAGUAACCUCUGUGAGUGCGCUGUUUCUAUGAAAAUGUUUGUGGCACCAUAGCUUCUACAAAUCUAUACAAAGUAUUAGUCCUGCCCUAAGCUGUAUGACAUAAAGCCAAUCAUUUUCAAUGUA